CACACAAGCUAGCAUUCCCUUGGUAUUGACAGAGAUGAGUAAAAAGCUUGGGGAAAAGCCUAGUGCAAAAUACUAGUGGUAAAUUUCACCUUUCAUUUUUUAGAAGGAAUCAUCUUACUUGAGUCCUACCACUCCUUAGGGAAACUCUGAACAAAAUCUUUAAGGAUAAUUGCUGAAUACUUGGUUUGAUCAAUGGAUCCAAUUCUGAGAAUAAACGUAGAUUCUUCAUAAUUUUAGAGAACGUGAGAUUUGCACUUUCUUCCAUCCGGAUAGGGACUCCAGUAGGAAUUUGAUUGCAGUGUGAGAACCAAAGGAGAAAGAGUUAAGAGCU
rnacentral:lncRNA from 1 species